GAACUACUCCCUCCGUUCUGAAUUACUUGUCUUGGAUUUGUCUAGAUACGGAGGUAUCUAGCACUAAAAUGAGUCUAGAUAUAUCCGUAUCUAGACAAAUCCAAGACAAGUAAUUCGAAACGGAGGGAGUAUAUG
rnacentral:pre_miRNA from 1 species